rnacentral:rRNA from 1 species
GACGAACGCUGGCGGCGUGCUUAACACAUGCAAGUCGAACGAAGAGCGAUGGAAGCUUGCUUCUAUCAAUCUUAGUGGCGAACGGGUGAGUAACGCGUAAUCAACCUGCCCUUCAGAGGGGGACAACAGUUGGAAACGACUGCUAAUACCGCAUACGAUCUAAUCUCGGCAUCGAGGAUAGAUGAAAGGUGGCCUCUACAUGUAAGCUAUCACUGAAGGUGGGGAUUGCGUCUGAUUAGCUAGUUGGAGGGGUAACGGCCCACCAAGGCGAUGAUCAGUAGCCGGUCUGAGAGGAUGAACGGCCACAUUGGGACUGAGACACGGCCCAGACUCCUACGGGAGGCAGCAGUGGGGAAUCUUCCGCAAUGGACGAAAGUCUGACGGAGCAACGCCGCGGGAGUGAUGACGGCCUUCGGGUUGUAAAGCUCUGUUAAUCGGGACGAAAGGCCUUCUUGCGAAUAGUGAGAAGGAUUGACGGUACCGGAAUAGAAAGCCACGGCUAACUACGUG